rnacentral:rRNA from 2 species
UGGGGAAUAUUGGACAAUGGGCGAAAGCCUGAUCCAGCCAUGCCGCGUGAGUGAUGAAGGCCUUAGGGUUGUAAAGCUCUUUCAGUAGGGAAGAUAAUGACGGUACCUACAGAAGAAGCCCCGGCUAACUUCGUGCCAGCAGCCGCGGUAAUACGAAGGGGGCUAGCGUUGUUCGGAUUUACUGGGCGUAAAGCGCACGUAGGCGGAUCGUUAAGUGAGAGGUGAAAUCCCAGGGCUCAACCCUGGAACUGCCUUUCAUACUGGCGAUCUCGAGUCCGGAAGAGGUGAGUGGAACUCCUAGUGUAGAGGUGGAAUUCGUAGAUAUUAGGAAGAACACCAGUGGCGAAGGCGGCUCACUGGUCCGGUACUGACGCUGAGGUGCGAAAGCGUGGGGAGCAAACA